rnacentral:piRNA from 1 species
UUCUAUGUUUUGUUGACUUGCGUUUG